UAAUGAAAGAACUUCGGAAAAGUUUAAUGGCUUCUAACAGAAAAUGGGUGCGCAGACCCUUAUAAAGGCAUUUUUACAUCACUGAAGAAUUCAAGAUAACAGCAAAUAAACUUUAAUAAUUGGUCCAGGUGUUAAGUGGUUAGUUAGAUACCCUCCCAUCAAGAGGUGAUGUCAUCCUUGACACGGGGGUGGACACGAGAUGUAGGCGCCAUCUUGACUCGAUGGGAGGGGUGCUUUGGCAGCCAUUUUGAGUAGUU